UAAACUUAAUAAAUGCCUGCCAGUACCAAGUCCCCCCAUCAUGCCUACACCGCCCGAUUAAGAAAACCUAAAUGUUAAUGUUUAAAACAGCAGUCUGAACCAUUUUACAUUUCAGUCAAAUGUAUGACUUUAAUUAAGACCAUCUAUAAAACCAUACACCAUCAUAAACGUACAUAGAAGCUAUAACAGUGAUAAUGAGGUUGUUGGUAUCGUAUUGGUGAGUCCAGUGAAAUUUGGAGAUAAUAUAGGGAAAUCACGAUGGCAAAACCCAAAAGUUUAUGCAAAGAAGUUGUAAGACAAAGUUGUGAGCUAAGUCUAUAACCUAUGGUAAUGGUGUACUUGUAUAGAACACAACUACUAACCAUUGUUAAAGGGAUCCUGCAUCAGCUGGAUUGCAAAUAGAUUCAAUUAUUGAAACUACUUUGGUCCAGUACCCCAAGUGGGUGACUUUCGGUUAGCUAUUAGAAGAUGUGAAAAAUGCAAAAUACAGCCAUGCCUGAACUGUUUAUAACACCAUGGCUGCACUGGACAAUGAACCUAUUAUUGUCAAUCUUGGUCUAGGCCAGGGUGCCCAAAAGUUUGAUCCCUAGAUGUUGUAGAACUACAACUCCCAUGAUGCAUUUAGAAUGACAAAGCAUCAUGAAAGCUGUAGUUUUAAAACAUCUGGGGAUCACACUUUUGGGCACACCUGUUCUAUGUCAAUAUAUAGCCUUUUAUGUUUUCAAUUUCAAAGCUUGUUCUUUUAUUGGCCCAUCCACCCAAAAACAGAGGGGAUUAAGGUAGGCGUCUUGUGCUUCUAAUUUUUACCUUGGGACAUUUAGUAUUGUUUACUGCAAGAAGUAGGCAUGUCAACAAAGUAGAGCUUAUCAGUCUCACUGUCCUUAGUCAUGUACCAGCCAUUUCCAAUUAAUAU